UAGACUUCAUACAGGUGCUGCAUGGCUGUCGUCAGCUCGUGCCGUGAGGUGUUAGGUUAAGUCCUGCAACGAGCGCAACCCCUAUUUCUAGUUGCCAUCAAGUAAAUUGGGGACUCUGGAGAGACUGCCUGCGCAAGCAGAGAGGAAGUGGGGAUGACGUCAAGUCAGCACGGCCCUUACGUCCAGGGCUACACACGUGCUACAAUGGCCGGUACAGAGGGCAGCGACCUGGUGACAGGUAGCGAAUCUCCAAAGCCGGCCUCAGUUCGGAUCGGAGUCUGCAACUCGACUCCGUGAAGCUGGAUUCGCUAGUAAUCGGAUAUCAGCAAUGAUCCGGUCGAAUACGUUCCCGGGCCUU
rnacentral:rRNA from 1 species